rfam:Stegodyphus mimosarum contig19322, whole genome shotgun sequence.
GCUUUCGUGGUGUAGUGGUCAGCACGCUCGACGCGUAACAGAGAAGUCGAUGGUUCGAUUCCCGACGAAGGCC